ensembl:lncRNA
UGGGCAUGGUAGCUCACUCUUAUAAUCUCAACCUUUUGGUAGGCUGAGGCAGGAGGAUUACUUGAAGCAGAGUUCAAGGCCAGUAUAAGCCAGAAAUGUGAGAUCCUUGUCUUUAUAAAAAAUUAAAAAUAAAAAAAAUUGUAAGACAUAGUGGUGUGCACCUGUAGUUCUAGCUAUUCUGGAGGCUAAGUUGGGAGGUUUAAUUAAGUCCUGGAGUUUGAGGCUGCAGUGAGCUAUGAUUGCCCAUCCUGGGCAACAGACUGAGAUCUCAUGUCUUAAAAAAAUAAGAAAAGUUUAUAUAUUAGUCAUUUAAAAUAAAGCUAAUUUGCAUGAGGAUUUUCAUGAAAUUCAAAAGGCCACCUCCACUAACUGCAAAACUUUUUCACUGUUAAACCAUAUCAAAGAAACUCACAAACCUUGUUAUAGAUUGUUUUGCUGCCUAUAACUAAACCCUAACUUUUUCUCCAAAAAAUAAAAGCUUAUGAAAAUAAAUAAUUUACAUGUUCGUGUUCCUUUAUUGAAAAACAAAAACAAAACACUAGAGUGUACAUUUUUAGAUCCAGCUUCCUGCUGCAUUCCAAAAUCCCAGAAAAGGGAAGAUAUCACAAGUCUGUAACAUAGCCAGAAAGACAGUUGCAGUAGGCACAUUUUCAAAUCCAUAGGUGUUUUACCUAGCCCCAUUUGUUAAAUGUAAGACUAAUUUUGAGUGAUUUGGCUCUUCUCAUUCUGCACUCUAUUUUUUCCUUCUAGGUACUUGUAUUUAUGUUUUGUUCUUUCCUGCUGUGGCAAGCAAUAGCUAUGUGUAAAAGUUAGCUAUUUUUUAUUAAUGUUUAAGAUAACAAACUGUCCCAAAAUUCAGUGGCUCAGAAAAACUGUAAUGCUCACUCAUAUGCAGCUUGCUGGGAGCAACGCUUGCUCUCGGGAUCAAGCUUAUCUCUCUAGGUUUACAAGAAAUUUGGAUAAUCUUUAAAGGGCUCAGUGAAGUGGCUCUCUUCCAUGUUUCAGGUAUAUGGGCAGCUUGGAAGGCUCUGCAUUACAUUCCUGUUCCUUCUCGGCCCCAGUGAACCACCCAUGACUCACUCUUCUCAAGGCAAUGGCAGAGGCAUACAUUGGCCCAUAAAAUCUCCAGGCUCAGCCAGAGCAGAGCAGAAGAUGGAGAAACCAUGGGACAACCAGCUGCAGAGAGGAAGUGCCCUAUGCCAAGAGCUUCAGAUGACAGAACAACCUGCCUGGAGAGAGGAUAACCUGCAUGCAGAGAGGAGCCACCCACUCUAGGGCUUCCUCUCAGCAGAAAGCUGGAGAUGAAGGGGUGCCCAGCUGCAGAGAGAAGCUACCCUUUCUAUUAAGAACUGAACACUUGUUGGGAUGACCUGCUUGCAGAGGGGAGCUACCCUCUGCUAAGAGCUGAAGACUCACCCAGACACUCUGACUACAGAGGGGAGCUGCCCACUAUGGGUCUCUUCUGAGCUGUUCUAUUGCUCAAUAAAGCUCCUCUUCAUCUUGCUUACCCUCCACUUGUCCGUGUACCUCAUUCUUCCUGGUGAUAGACAAGAACUGAAUGGUCAGGCUAAAACAGCCAUAACAAAACAUGGCUAAAACACACCCCUUGCUCACCGCAUUGUAACUGAAGAGAAGAGCUAUGGCCCUGUGGGAAGUCCAGACCUGGGAGCUCUUUGAGUCUGGGCUGUGACUCCCCCUUUAAGGCCCUGUGGUUUCUCAUUUAUUCAAGCUUCCAGGUGCUACCACAUUCCCUGGUGCCAGGCAGGAAAGUUGCUUGCGGUGCACCUGGUCGAGCUGCAGCCUCACAGAGCUGGUGCGCAUGCUGGCACCUGUUGUUGCCUGCCCCAUGGCAGCAGCUGGAGUGUCUGACUAUGAAGUGGCCAAACCCCACACUCACUCAAACACACCCCUCGCUGCUUCGUGCCUGACUCCAGUCUCCCUUAGAGCCAUGAGAUACAAACUGGUAGCAUGAACUGCGUGCAACUGAAUGGGCUGAAUGGGCAGAAUGAGCCAAGUGGGCCCAAGUGAAACUCGGGCAAAGGUUUCACCAGCCACAGGUUUCUAGUCAGAUAAGUGACACAACAAGGAUCCUGUAACAGAUUUAAGUCUAAAAUAAAUUAUGUAUUGCCAAGAAGUAAAUCACCACAUACUUUAUACAAAUAACUGCUUUCAGAAAGCAAAAUUUGCACAAAAUGACAUAUUUGAUGACAAGUAAAUACAUAAUUUUCAUUUUUCAGUUAUUUCAUAACAUUUCACAUAAAAAUAAUUCUAUACUCUUGAUCCUGACUUUCUUGGUUCAGACUCAUCAUCUUUGUCUGAACUUCUAUACUCUUAACCAAUGUUUGAAAA